rnacentral:lncRNA from 1 species
GGGCAUUUAGGCAGAGAGCUCUACAAGGCCCUUGCAAGGGCCCUGAAAUAGAAGCAUGUCUGGGAUAUUUCUACAAUAGCAAAGAGGCGUGUGAUGCCAAGUGGUAUGAAUCAAGGAAGAGUAGCAGGUUAAUCAACCAGGAAGAUUGACUAUUACAACAGGACAGAAGAUUAGAAGUGGACACCACUUCUAUUACAUCUAUAAUAGAAUGUAAGAGUUUGCUACAAACGAUUCCAUCUCCCUAAGGGCUCAUUCUUUCCCCCAAAUUAUUUACCCUCUCCUAAGUUGUCCAUAUCCCUCUUCUUCUUUCCCCUACGAAGACAGUAUAAGCUCCCAAAUCUCACCACUUUUUUGGGUAUUCAUUUUUUUUUCUCUUGUGAUGCCCCAUCCAUGCAAUAAAUUUGUAUACCUUUU